CGGGGGAGGCCGGAUCCUGGGCUGUGUCCCGGCGCCCUGUGCUUGGGGCCUGUGCUGAUGGAUUUGUGCUCCGGCCCCGCAGCCCCCU
rnacentral:pre_miRNA from 1 species